rnacentral:piRNA from 1 species
UCAAAAGAUAGGCUAUCUAAGAUGAUCAUC